rnacentral:rRNA from 1 species
AUUGAACGCUGGCGGAAUGCUUUACACAUGCAAGUCGAACGGUAGAGGGGGCAACCCCUCGAGAGUGGCGAACGGGUGAGUAAUAUAUCGGAACGUGCCCAGUCGUGGGGGAUAACGUAGCGAAAGUUACGCUAAUACCGCAUACGAUCUAAGGAUGAAAGCGGGGGACUCGCAAGAGCCUCGCGCGAUUGGAGCGGCCGAUAUCAGAUUAGGUAGUUGGUGGGGUAAAGGAUCACCAAGCCAACGAUCUGUAGCUGGUCUGAGAGGACGACCAGCCACACUGGAACUGAGACACGGUCCAGACUCCUACGGGAGGCAGCAGUGGGGAAUUUUGGACAAUGGACGCAAGUCUGAUCCAGCCAUUCCGCGUGCAGGAUGAAGGCCCUCGGGUUGUAAACUGCUUUUGUACGGAACGAAAAGGUUUCUAUUAAUACUAGGAGCUCAUGACGGUACCGUAAGAGUAAGCACCGGCUAACUACGUGCCAGCCGCCGCCGUAAUAC